GAGUACAUCGCCCGCGGCUUUGUCGAC
rnacentral:tRNA from 1 species